GCUGGGCGUGGUGGCUCACGCCUGUAAUCCCAGCACUUUGGGAGGCUGAGGCAGGAGGAUCACUUGAGGUCAGGAGUUUGAGACCAGCCUGGCCAACAUGGUGAAACCCCGUCUCUA
rnacentral:SRP_RNA from 2 species